UACGAAGGGGGCUAGCGUUGUUCGGAAUUACUGGGCGUAAAGCGCACGCAGGCGGUUCGCAUAGUCAGAAGUGAAAGCCCUGGGCUCAACCCGGGAAUUGCUUUUGAUACUAGCGGACUAGACUCAGGGAGAGGAUAGCGGAAUUCCGAGUGUAGAGGUGAAAUUCGUAGAUAUUCGGAAGAACACCAGUGGCGAAGGCGGCUAUCUGGCCCUCGAGUGACGCUCAUGUGCGAAAGCGUGGGGAGCAAACAGG
rnacentral:rRNA from 1 species